rnacentral:rRNA from 1 species
UACAGAGGUCUCAAGCGUUGUUCGGAUUCAUUGGGCGUAAAGGGUGCGUAGGUGGCGCCGUAAGUCAGGUGUGAAAUUUCGGAGCUUAACUCCGAAACUGCAUUUGAUACUGCGGUGCUUGAGGACUGGAGAGGAGACUGGAAUUUACGGUGUAGCAGUGAAAUGCGUAGAUAUCGUAAGGAAGACCAGUGGCGAAGGCGGGUCUCUGG